UGGGGAAUAUUGCACAAUGGGCGAAAGCCUGAUGCAGCAACGCCGCGUGAGUGAUGAAGGCCUUCGGGUUGUAAAGCUCUGUCUUCUGGGACGAUAAUGACGGUACCAGAGGAGGAAGCCACGGCUAACUACGUGCCAGCAGCCGCGGUAAUACGUAGGUGGCAAGCGUUGUCCGGAUUUACUGGGCGUAAAGGAUGCGUAGGCGGAUACUUAAGUCAGAUGUGAAAAUCCCGGGCUUAACUUGGGAACUGCAUCUGAAACUGGGUAUCUAGAGUGCGGGAGAGGAAAGUGGAAUUCCUAGUGUAGCGGUCAAAUGCGUAGAGAUUAGGAACAACACCAGUGGCGAAGGCGACUUUCUGGACCGUAACUGACGCUGAGGCAUGAAAGCGUGGGGAGCAAACA
rnacentral:rRNA from 1 species